AUUGAACGCUGGCGGCAGGCCUAACACAUGCAAGUCGAGCGUGAAAAGUCCUUCGGGAUGAGUAAAGCGGCGGACGGGUGAGUAACGCGUAGGAAUCUACCUAAUAGUGGGGGAUAACGUUUCGAAAGGAACGCUAAUACCGCAUACGUUCUGAGGAAGAAAGCAGGGGAUCGCAAGACCUUGCGCUAUUAGAUGAGCCUGCGUCCGAUUAGCUAGUUGGUGGGGUAAAGGCCUACCAAGGCGACGAUCGGUAACUGGUCUGAGAGGAUGAUCAGUCACACUGGAACUGAGACACGGUCCAGACUCCUACGGGAGGCAGCAGUGGGAAUAUUGGACAAUGGGGGCAACCCUGAUCCAGCCAUGCCGCGUGUGGGAAGAA
rnacentral:rRNA from 1 species